rnacentral:lncRNA from 1 species
UUUUAACAAGUAACCUGAAUUUCUUGGUCCCCAUUUCUAAUUGAGUUUACUAUUCAACCUAUGGCAACUUCUUUUGCGAGGAUCAUGCUCCCCAAUUUCCUAGAUUUACCGGUUUAUCGGCAAGAGAUCGGCUUAAAUAACGUAGGUAAUCUCACUAAAUCAACUCCAAAAUUCCCAUCGGUUUCCACAAUCUUCUUCUCUAGAAAUCUCACGCUGAAGACUGAAAGUAGUCGGGAACGACGCAUCAGAAACGAAUCCAACCUCAAAUGGAUAGAAAUAGAUAAUUGAUUCCUCAAAUUUUGUCACUAUAUCAUCUCAACCAGGUAAAUUGUUUCCCAAUUUUUUAUUAUUUAGGGUAAUGUUUGAUUUUGACUUUGAGUUGGACUGCCAAAUGGAAAAUGAUGGUAUUCUGAGGCCUAGGACUAGGUGGAACAUCGUUGUUUCAUCCUCUCUGAUUUAUGAACCCUAAUCCUCUGGUAAGCACCAUGUUUCAAGCUUUUGCCCCCAACCAAAAUUAAUCAAGCAAAUCUCUGAGCUAGCAGAAAUCAAACAUGAAAUAGUCAGAGGUAAAAAAAUUUAUGUUUUCUUAUUUUUGGAUGAUGUGUCUUUAAAUUUCUCUGUUUCUUUGUAGGAGAUUUUCCAUUGGGCUUUGUGUUCCAUAUUUUACGUUUUUGUGGGUCUUUUUUGUUAUUGAUUGAGAAGUUUGGAUUUAGAGCUAUCUAGAUUUAGGAGUUAUUAGGAAUUGACUAUGUAGAAAUUCAAGUUGGUUUCUAUUAUCAGAUAUUAAAGAUCAUCAUUAUCCGAAAGGAAGAUGUAACGAAGAUAAUUGGUGGAACUUACAAGUAAGUUUUUUUAACAGUGGUUCCUACAACUAUUUAUAUGAUUUUGUUGUUACUGAAAAAUUUCGCAUGCAGGGGUAUUUGAAUCAAUAAUUGAUGGACAUUGUGUCUUUGAUAGUAGUAGAUUACACCAAAAGAGGAGAUUAGGGAUAGAAAAGGGAAUUGUCCAUGAGGCAGUCCAUUGAAAACAUAGUUCAUGAUUCGGUGUGCAGAUCCACAAUGUCAUGUUUUACUACACAUUACAUGUGUUAUUACACAAUUAGAGUUUACUAGAGAAAUUCCACCUGUUUCACCUUAUUACAUGUUCAAAUAAAGGUUUCUUAUUGGGUGAAUCAAUUAUUUUUUAUGUGGUGUGCGUGAGCAGACAUGGUACAUAUUAUUCAAUGAUAGUGUUCCAUUCAUAAUGCAAUGACCUCAGUAUCCUGAUCUAAAAGUCAUUGGUAUGUUACUUUUAUAAUUAUACUAUUUUAUUUAUAUGCUUUGUAUUUUUCUUAUCAAGGCAUAUUCUAAUAUGAAAAAUCUAACCAAUUUUCGCGUUGUAUUAUAAAACAACAAGCACCAGAGAUAAACUAUAUGGCCUAUUUUGAUAAAGGAAGUAUAGUAUGUACCCAUUUACUAAUUUUUUUUUUUAACUUUUAUUUUGUUUAGGGGACAACUUGGAUGGUUUUGGCCGGUAUAAUAUAUGUAGUACAUAUAGUUAGUGGAUCCACUAACUAAAUUUCAUGGAGCUGCAGAGGUAUGACAUUGUUGUUUUUGUCACUUUUUGUGUCUAAUGUGAUAUUUUUCUCUCUUUGAUUUCACUUUUAUGUGUGGCCUGGGAAUAACAUUGAUGAACUCAUAGUACUUGAGAUAUCAAAACAUGUAAAAUUUUAUAAAAUUCAAUGUAUAAUGAUGUCACAAGAACUUCAAAUAAGGACUAAAAUAGCGAAAUAAACUUUUUGAGACCAAAUUUAUAAAAAUCGAUUAUACACACAGACUGAAAACGUAAUUUACUUUUUUUUCAUUCUCUUUUGACAUGCACUUUCUAUUUGGUAUUUAACAUGACUACACUUGAUUAAAUUGAUUUUAAUCGAUAAAUCACUGUCAACAUAGGAUCAAUAUUUCCGACUUUAUUACGUGAUACGUCCACUGUGGGGGCCUUGGCUCCUCAAGUCCAGGAUGAAGAGCAUGGGUAUCGGUUGUAUGUUCAAACACUUUUCAGGCAAUUUCUUCUAUUAACAAUAAUAUGUUAUUUAUGUUACCAAUGUUGUUCCACAUUUUUAUAUGUUUUUUCUGUUGUCGUACUUUUUAUGUUAACAUGCUAAUGUUACAAUAUUACUUUCUAAUUCUAUGCUAAUGUUACAAGCUAUUUUACCAUAUAUAUAGUAUUUUUUGUGAGUUGUACUUGGA